AGGAGGUUAGUGCAAUGGCAUAAGCCAGCUUGACUGCGAGCGUGACGGCGCGAGCAGGUGCGAAAGCAGGUCAUAGUGAUCCGGUGGUUCUGAAUGGAAGGGCCAUCGCUCAACGGAUAAAAGGUACUCCGGGGAUAACAGGCUGAUACCGCCCAAGAGUUCAUAUCGACGGCGGUGUUUGGCACCUCGAUGUCGGCUCAUCACAUCCUGGGGCUGAAGUAGGUCCCAAGGGUAUGGCUGUUCGCCAUUUAAAGUGGUACGCGAGCUGGGUUUAGAACGUCGUGAGACAGUUCGGUCCCUAUCUGCCGUGGGCGCUGGAGAACUGAGGGGGGCUGCUCCUAGUACGAGAGGACCGGAGUGGACGCAUCACUGGUGUUCGGGUUGUCAUGCCAAUGGCACUGCCCGGUAGCUAAAUGCGGAAGAGAUAAGUGCUGAAAGCAUCUAAGCACGAAACUUGCCCCGAGAUGAGUUCUCCCUGAGACUUUAGGUCUCCUGAAGGAACGUUGAAGACGACGACGUUGAUAGGCCGGGUGUGUAAGCGCAGCGAUGCGUUGAGCUAACCGGUACUAAUGAACCGUGAGGCUUAACCUU
rnacentral:rRNA from 1 species